rnacentral:rRNA from 1 species
AUUGAACGCUGGCGGCAGGCCUAACACAUGCAAGUCGAACGGUAACAGGAAGAAGCUUGCUUCUUUGCUGACGAGUGGCGGACGGGUGAGUAAUGUCCGGGAAACUGCCUGAUGGAGGGGGAUAACUACUGGAAACGGUAGCUCAUACCGCAUAACGUCGCAAGACCAAAGAGGGGGACCUUCGGGCCUCUUGCCAUCGGAUGUGACCAGAUGGGAUUAGCUAGUAGGUGGGGUAACGGCUCACCUAGGCGACGAUCCCUAGCUGGUCUGAGAGGAUGACCAGCCACACUGGAACUGAGACACGGUCCAGACUCCUACGGGAGGCAGCAGUGGGGAAUAUUGCACAAUGGGCGCAAGCCUGAUGCAGCCAUGCCGCGUGUAUGAAGAAGGCCUUCGGGUUGUAAAGUACUUUCAGCGGGGAGGAAGGGAGUAAAGUUAAUACCUUGGCUCAUUGACGUUACCCGCAGAAGAAGCACCGGCUAACUCCGUG